rnacentral:sRNA from 1 species
CACUGCUGACCUGUCAUCUCCUGACAUAGAAGGUGUUUAUGAAACACAAGUCCCUUUAGAGUUCCGAGCCAUUAUGAAGCUGGGCUGCUUGGCCACUGUCAAUCGGGAGUUUGCCAGAUCAAUGGAAGGAAGAGAAACAGACACAUUUGAUGUCAACAAUCUAAACUUCCGCAGUGUGGCUCAGUUUCCAUAUUUGAAUCCUGGGUCUAUGAAGCACUUGUUCCUAUACCAUCAUAAGUGUGGUAAUAAAGCUUUCUUUGGCCUUUUCAACCCUGCUGGGAAGGCAGCAUC